rnacentral:rRNA from 1 species
GGUGGAGCGAUUUGUCUGGUUUAUUCCGAUAACGAACGAGACUCUGGCCUACUAAAUAGACUGUACUUCUUCGGAGUGCAGAACUUCUUAGAGGGACAAGCGACGUCUAGUCGCACGAGAUUGAGCAAUAACAGGUCUGUGAUGCCCUUAGAUGUCCGGGGCUGCACGCGCGCUACACUGAAGGCAGCAUCGUGUCUAUCAACCUACCCCGGGAAGGGGCGGGUAACCCGAUGAAACGCCUUCGUGAUUGGGAUAGGGAAUUGCAAUUAUUUCCCUUGAACGAGGAAUUCCCAGUAAGUGCGGGUCAUCAGCUCGCGCUGAAUACGUCCCUGCCCUUUGUAC